CCUACGGGAGGCAGCAGUGAGGAAUAUUGGUCAAUGGACGAGAGUCUGAACCAGCCAAGUAGCGUGAAGGAUGACUGCCCUAUGGGUUGUAAACUUCUUUUAUAUGGGAAUAAAAUGUUCCACGUGUGGGAUUUUGUAUGUACCAUAUGAAUAAGGAUCGGCUAACUCCGUGCCAGCAGCCGCGGUAAUACGGAGGAUCCGAGCGUUAUCCGGAUUUAUUGGGUUUAAAGGGAGCGUAGGUGGAUUGUUAAGUCAGUUGUGAAAGUUUGCGGCUCAACCGUAAAAUUGCAGUUGAAACUGGCAGUCUUGAGUACAGUAGAGGUGGGCGGAAUUCGUGGUGUAGCGGUGAAAUGCCUAGAUAUCACGAAGAACUCCGAUUGCGAAGGCAGUUCACUGGACUGCAACUGACACUGAGGCUCGAAAGUGUGGGUAUCAAACAGGAUUAGAUACCCCUGUAGUC
rnacentral:rRNA from 1 species